rnacentral:hammerhead_ribozyme from 1 species
ACCUAGCUGAUGAGUCCCAAAUAGGACGCUGCGUGCGUCCUGUAU